UACGGAGGAUCCAAGCGUUAUCCGGAUUCAUUGGGUUUAAAGGGUGCGCAGGCGGAAUGAUAAGUCAGUGGUGAAAUCCUACAGCUCAACUGUAGAACUGCCAUUGAUACUAUCGUUCUUGAGUACAUUUGAAGUGGGCGGAAUGUGUCAUGUAGCGGUGAAAUGCUUAGAUAUGACACAGAACACCGAUCGCGAAGGCAGCUCACUAAGUUGUAACUGACGCUCAGGCACGAAAGCGUGGGGAUCAAACAGG
rnacentral:rRNA from 1 species